rnacentral:sRNA from 1 species
UCGGGUAGAGGGCCGAACCUCCUACGAGGUC